rnacentral:rRNA from 1 species
GACGUAGGGCGCGAGCGUUGUCCGGAUUUAUUGGGCGUAAAGAGCUCGUAGGCGGCUUGUCGCGUCGACUGUGAAAACCCGCGGCUCAACUGCGGGCUUGCAGUCGAUACGGGCAGGCUAGAGUUCGGUAGGGGAGACUGGAAUUCCUGGUGUAGCGGUGAAAUGCGCAGAUAUCAGGAGGAACACCAGUGGCGAAGGCGGCGAUCUGGGAAGAUACUGACGCUGAGGUGCGAAAGCGUGGGGAGCAAACAGG